AUCGCGGGGAUUUUGCGUCUUCUCUUCUCGAGAGAGCAGUUCUAAGCGCCAUCGAAUUGAUGCAUUCUUCGGUAAAAUACAGGUUAUGGAGUCACAGCAUGUUUCGGCUAGAGUGAAACGCAGGGCGGCGGUCCGUUAGCAGUUCCCCGCCGAACACGACUCCAGCUCAGGCACGAGAAGCAGCGCCGUUACGAUGGAAACAGAAUAA